ensembl:miRNA
UUAAUUAAUGCAUUAAAUUAUUGAAGGCCCUUGGGCACCUCAGGCCUUCAAUAAUUUAAUGCAUUUAUUGA